AGUUUACCCAUAAAUAGGUAGAUUAUUUACCCAUAUUUGGGUUUCGUAUCCAUUACCAAUAAUAUGGGUAAAGUUUACCAAUAAAUAUUGGUAAAAUUCACCCAUAUUCUUGAUGAAGUGACUUUACUCAUAUAUGGGUAAAGACUGUUUACCCAUAUUUGGAUGAAAAAAAUAAUAUUUUCUAGAGGCAGCACCGAAAUCGGCCAUUCGCUCGGUUCAUCAAAAAUAAAACAAUUGUUUUAGUUAACUAUUCUCGGAAUUAUUGGAGAACGUUGAGGCAAAUUUGCAAAUUACACAACGCCUAGGUGAAGAGGAAGCAGGUGACCUCUGAACAGAAAAAAAAUUCCUUCGAGGUGGAUUACGGUUGGAACCAGUUGAAUCAGCAGGAUUCUCUGCAAGUGCUCUCGUGUUGGAUUUAGCACCGCUCGAUGAGCUGAAUUUGAGCGUCUCAGUGGAACACGCCCAGCAAUCCACCGGAGUGCAAAUAAACCGGAGACGCACGUUGACCGUGAACGAAUCGUCUAGGACUCCGCUCCCCCUGAUGCCAAAUUUGAAUAGGCCGGCCGGAUGAUGCAAACCGCCCGUAGAAGAAGGAAGUGGCAUUCUCGUUGUAGAAGUGUUCUGUCUAUGCCUCGGCUCCCCCGAGAGCAGUUGAAACCCACCCGAACCAGAGUGGGAGCGGGAAGUAAACCGACACAAGUGGCUCAAGUCCGGACAUUAUUAGAACCAGGGAGGAGUUUGCAUCAAUAUCUGAUUUGUGCAUUUCACUCCCGGCCCUACCCAUCCUGGUCGAGAUCCUGGCCUCAAACGCCCAUACGAGCAAGCGCAAGAGUCGACAAACUGCAUCAGCUGGCGGACCCUCCGGAGCGCAUUGUCCGGAAGAAAGCAGGCGAGCUCCACCAUCAGGAAGCUAUUCGCGAUCCUUUCACCAUUGAUGUUGCUGCACGAUCCAGUCUUUUCCUAUGUAAAACGAAACGCCGACCCAAUCGUUAAAAUCAAUCACCAAAACCCUGCAUGUAUUUUUUUAUUAAUAUUUUUCUGUUUUAUAAUAAUAUUCGAAUAAACUUUUUAUUAAAUAUUUUAAUUUUAUUUGUUUUCUUUUCGAAAUUUAUGGCAUUUUAUUUAUAAGUAAAAUAAAUAAAUACAAAUCAUUUACUCAAAUAUGAGUACUAUGUACCCAAAUUCAAAGAACUCAUAUAUGGGUAAAUUCAACCUAUAUUGCCCGUAGAUCCAACAUACCCAAAUAUGAGUAAAGUGUCUUUACCCAUAAAAUGAGGUUGUGCACUUUUCGGCGAUUAUGGGUAAAGUUUACUCAUAUUUGGGUAAACUGACCUUAGC